rnacentral:rRNA from 1 species
GAUGAACGCUAGCGGCAGGCCUAAUACAUGCAAGUCGAACGGGGGGUCGCAAGACCACUAGUGGCGCACGGGGGCGUAACGCGUAACCAACCUGCCCCGAUCUGGGGGAUAGCCCGCCGAAAGGCGGAUUAAUACCGCAUAUACCCGCAGCCUGGCAUCAGGCAACGGGGGAAGAUUUAUUGGAUCGGGGUGGGGUUGCGUGACAUUAGCUAGUUGGCGGGGUAAGGGCCCACCAAGGCGACGAUGUCUAGGGGACCUGAGAGGGUGAUCCCCCACACUGGCACUGAGAUACGGGCCAGACUCCUACGGGAGGCAGCAGUAGGGAAUAUUGGGCAAUGGGCGAGAGCCUGACCCAGCCAUGCCGCGUGCCGGAUGAAGGCCUUCUGGGUUGUAAACGGCUUUUCUCAGGGAAGAAAAAGACCUUGCGAGGUACACUGACGGUACCUGAGGAAUAAGCACCGGCUAACUCCGUG